rnacentral:tRNA from 1 species
GGGAAUGUGGCUUAGUGGUAGAGCGCUUGCCUAACAUGCAUUAAGCCCUGGGUUUGAUUCCUCAAUACCA